rnacentral:misc_RNA from 1 species
GUUACAAUCACUUGAUUCUCUCGGGCAUUUGGAGAUCACUGUGCAAGAGAUGCAAGUUUCAAAGAAGGAUCCUUCGCUCGUUGAGGCUGAGAAUGUACUCUCUGAAUGUUUUUCUGCUUAUCAAAAGUUCAAAGGUUCAACUUUCGACACUCCUGAAGUCAAGGCCGAGUACUGUACAUGUUUGAAGCGUCUCUCAAGCCUGUUUAGCGAUGGCGAAACGAGUAAGCAAAUGAGAAGAGUCAG